rnacentral:tRNA from 1 species
GGGGCUGUAGCUCAGUGGUAGAGCACUUGCCUUGCUUGCAUGAGGCACUGGGUUCAAUCCUUAGCACCA